rnacentral:tRNA from 1 species
ACUCUCUUAGUAUAACUAAAUAUAGCUGACUUCCAAUCAGUAGAUUCCGGCAUAACGGAAGAGAGUA